rnacentral:lncRNA from 1 species
GAAUUUUGUCAACUCGCCUCUCGACUGAGGAAAUGGUGGGGGUAGGGCGAGUCGAGCUGUUCCUUGAGGGAUCUUCGCGGUCUGCAUGGUAGGGCUUCAGGCAGCUCAUAUGGAAUACCGGGUGGAUUUUAAGCCACGCCGGGAGCUGCACACGGUAGAAGACCGUUCCCACCUUGCCCACGAUAGGAAAGGGACCUUCAUACUUCCGGACCAAACCCUUGUGCACCUUUCGGAACACUCUCAGGGAUGCUGGUUGGAGCUUGACCAGCACGAGGUCGCCUUUGCUGUAGUCUCGAGGCCGCCUAUCCUUAUCGGCCCACUUCUUCAUCGUUCUAACCGCCUUCUCCA